AGAAAGGUGGCCAAGCGGCCAAGGCAACAGACCACAAAUCUGCUCUCCUCUGUAUGCGCAAGUUUGAGUCCUGCCGUUGCCA